AGAGAUAGAAGUUACUUCGGUACAUCGGUGACAGGUGGUGCAUGGUUGUCGUCAGCUCGUGUCGUGAGAUGUUGGGUUAAGUCCCGCAACGAGCGCAACCCCUAUUGUUAGUUGCCAUCAUUCAGUUGGGCACUCUAGCGAGACUGCCGGUAAUAACCGGAGGAAGGUGGGGAUGACGUCAAAUCAUCAUGCCCCUUAUGACCUGGGCUACACACGUGCUACAAUGGUUGGUACAACGAGUUGCGAGUCGGUGACGGCGAGCUAAUCUCUUAAAGCCAAUCUCAGUUCGGAUUGUAGGCUGCAACUCGCCUACAUGAAGUCGGAAUCGCUAGUAAUCGCGGAUCAGCACGCCGCGGUGAAUACGUUCCCGGGCCUU
rnacentral:rRNA from 1 species